rnacentral:lncRNA from 1 species
AUGGGGAGCCUGAACCUCGGUCCUUGUCAGGCUGCAGGGAGAAGCCCACACAAGGGUGAUGCCCAGGAGCUCAGCCAGCUGUGCCCAUGGAGGCUGCGUGGGAAGCUGCACUUCCUUCCCGGCCGGUGGAGAUACCACAUAAGGUUUACUUUACACAUAUUCCUUCUGGGGAGAAAAAUCAUCUGGCCGCAUGAAGAGCAGAAGGAAUGCCAAGUGUCAACGAGCUAUAACAAGCAGGGGAGCAGGUGUAAACAGGAGAAACUUCACCAGGAGUUCCUGUUGUGGCUCAGCGGAUUAAGAACCUGGCAUUUUAUCCAGGAGGGUGCAGGUUCUAUUCCUGGCCUCGCUCAGCAGGUUAAGGAUCUGGCAUUGCUGCAAGCCGAGGGUAGGUCACAGAUGCGGCUCAACGGAUCCUGCGUUGCUGUGGCUGUGGCGUAGGGUAGGUUGGCAGCUGCAGCUCCGAUUCAACUCCUGACCCAUAUACAGUAAGGGCGGCCGUAAAAGAAAAAAAGAAAGAAACUUCACCAGAAUUUGAGCCCUGUUUAUUUACCAACUGAGCAGAUAAAUUAUUCUCUCUGUGUCUAUAAAGUAGGUAAUAUCAUAUCUAUUUUAUUGGAAUACUUCCUGUGAAAGGCUUCAUAAAUUUGUGACGUGCUCUGAGGAUGAAGUAGAGGCUGUUUAUCUGAUCCAAGGAGACAAGAGUAAUUGAAAAAAAUCCUUCAUACAAAAAGGAUGUUGGGAGUUCUUGCCCUGGCGCAGAGGAAACGAAUCCGACUAGGAUCCAAGAGGUUGAGGAUUUGAUCCCUGGCCUCGCUCAGUGGGUUAAGGAUCCAGCGUUGCCAUGAACUGUGGUGUAGUUGCAGACGUGGCUCGGAUCUGGUUUUUGCUGUGACUGUGGUGUAGGCUGACGGCUGCAGCUCCAGUUAAGCCCCUAGCCUGGGAUCUUCCAUAUGCCACCGGUGCUGCCCUAAAAAGCAAAACAAAAACCAAAAACCAAAAAGGAUGAUGUACUGUUUGUCUAAAUUUUAGAAGACAAGCAGAGAGGCACCCUUGGUAAAUCAGUAGAACAUCAUUUGCUCAUAACUUUUUUUUUUUUUUUGUCUUUUUGCCUUUUCUAGGGCCACUCCCAUGGCAUAUGGAGGUUCCCAGGCUAGGGGUCGAAUCGGAGCUGUAGCCACCGGCCUACGCCAGAGCCACAGCAACGCGGGAUCUGAGCCGCGUCUGCAACCUACACCACAGCUCACAGCAACACCGGAUCCUUAACCCACUGAGCAAGGCCAGGGAUCGAACCCACAACCUCAUGGUUCCUAGUUGGAUUCGUUAGCCGCUGAGCCCUGGUGGGAACUCUGCUCAUGACAUUUUUUGCCAUAGGAAUUAUGCAGCGGAGGUGGGGGUCAGGUGGGGUGGAGACAGAACCAAGAUGGUCAAGGAUUUUUUUGUGGGAGGGGGUUCCACUGGGCUCCAGCUGGCACAUAACCACAGUAAUGGGUUACAUUGUGCCAUUCCAUUUUCUUCUAAAACUGUAACUUAUGUGACCAAAAAUGUUCCUGGCAUUUUUUGGAUGCAUUUUGAAUCUCCGCACAAUUGAAUGAUUGUCACAAGUUGAAUGAUGAGACCUGGUCUCGAAACAGAACUUGACGGUAAAUCGUCUGGGAUCACAUUGGAAUGUUUUCUUGAUUUUAUGCUUAUUUUAUUGAGUGGCCUUAAUGGUAUUAGGAUUCUUUGUGAAAAUGUUUCUAGAUCCUAUGAAGGAAUAUUCAAAUGAUUUCAUCAUCACUUCUUGUUUUGUGAUUAGGAGAUGCAGAACCUAAAAAUUUAGUAUGCAUAUGGUUAGAUGUGUUAGAAGGGGGCUUGGGUGCAUUGAGAUUGCCUGUUUAAGACUAAAUGACUAAAUUGUGCUCCCCCCCACAACACGUGCACACGCAGAGACACACACACACACACACACACACACACACACACACACACAGGGAAGAGAUGGCAAAUAAAGGAGCAAAUAAUGUAAAUUCUUUAGACGGU